GUGCCAGGCUCACGCGGUUAUACCAAGAAAUUAAGUCAAAUACUUAUGGUAAAAAGACAGUUAAGCAUGCAUUAAAUUAAUUUUGUGAGCUUUUAUUUUAAAGUAAAAUUUAUAUAUAAAAGUUAAAAUCAAAAAAAAUUAAAAGCUGAAUCUGUAAAAAUUUUGAGGGAAACUGGGAUUAGAUACCCCAUUAUUCUUAAAGAUAAAUAAACUUAUACCGGGGUACUACGAAUAUUAUUAAUUUAAAACCUAAAGAGCUUGGCGGUGUUCUAGACUACUUAGGGGAACUUGUUUCAUAAUCGAUAAUCCACGAAAUACCUAACCUUUUUUUGUAAUACAGUAUGUAUACCGUUGUCGUCAGGUAACUUUUUAAAAUAAAGAAGUUAGCAAUUAAAACUUAAAUUUUCACGUCAAAUCAAGGUACAGCCCAUAAAAAGGAGAAAAUGAGUUACAAUUAAAAUUUAUAAUAACGGAAUAAAUUAUGAAUGAAUUUUAUGAAGGCGGACUUAAAAGUAAGAAAAUAACUUAUAAAGAUUUUUUGAAUAAAGCUCUGGAACGUGCACACAUCGCCCGUCGCUCUCGUUGGAAAAUGAGAUAAGUCGUAACAUAGUAGGGGUAAUAA
rnacentral:rRNA from 1 species